rnacentral:rRNA from 1 species
UACGUAGGGAGCAAGCGUUGUUCGGAUUUACUGGGCGUAAAGGGCGCGUAGGCGGCGCGGUAGGUCACUUGUGAAAUCUCUGAGCUUAACUCAGAACGGCCAAGUGAUACUGCAGUGCUAGAGUGCAGAAGGGGCAAUCGGAAUUCUUGGUGUAGCGGUGAAAUGCGUAGAUAUCAAGAGGAACACCUGAGGUGAAGACGGGUUGCUGGGCUGACACUGACGCUGAGGCGCGAAAGCCAGGGGAGCAAACGGG